CCGCUUCGGAAGAGCCGGUUGUUCCUGUGCCCCACGGACUGCACCCACCCCUUCUAAGCCCCAGGCCUUGUCGCCCGGGCAAUCCGAGCCAGGAGCGGUCGGGCAGAGAUUCGCCUGGAAUUCAACCCCAAACACCACCCUUGUCCUCCCCUCAGCGCCCUCCCAGACCAUGGGACAUGACUCAGAGGACUCUGAAGCAAAUCUAGACACCCUGUCUCCUCAUCGUCGGGGGUUGGGGUAUGAGAGAACCGUUUGUGCAAAAGAUCCUCCUAUAACACACCAGAAGGACCGUAACCCCUCCUCUUUUACUCUCCAAGUUGAUAUGUUCCCCCUCAGAUUCAGGCACAGUAAGUACUAUUUCAAAUUCUCCAAUAAACUUCUCCAGGGUGGUCUCUAGAAAGG